rnacentral:misc_RNA from 1 species
UUUCCGUAGGCGAACCUGCGGAAGGAUCAUUAAUGUAACCGGACCGUUCCUUUGCCGUAAAACGCACUGGAUAGGAAAGGGAGAUAUCAUACACCCUAUGUUUAUUUACUUUUGUUGCUUUGGUGGGCCGUCCUUUACGGCGACGGCUUCGGCUGAUCGCGCCCGCCAGAGGACCCAAACUCUUUUAUUAGUGAUGUCUGAGUACUAUAUAAUAGUUAAAACUUUCAACAACGGAUCUCUUGGUUCUG